UUUGGUUUCAACAGUUUAGGAAUUAGGGGCCAAAAAAGGGCCCAAAUAAGCAUUAUUCUUGGUUUUCGCACAAUAACUUUAGUUUAAGUAAUAGAAAUCAAUGAAAUUUAAACACAAUGUUUAAUGACACAAAAAGGAAGGUUGGUAUUGAUUUUGGGAGUUUUGGUCCCAACAGAAUAAGGGGCCCAAAGGGUCCAAAAUUAAACUUUGUUUGAUUUCAUCAAAAUUGAAUAAUUGGAGUUCUUUGAUAUGCCGAAUCUAACUGUCAUGACUGUGUAUGUAGAUUCUUAACUUUUGGUCCCGUUUUCAAAUUGGGUCUACAUUAAGGUCCAAAGGGUCCAAAAUUAAACUUAGUUUGAUUUUGACAAAAAAUGAAUCAGUUAGGUUCUUUGAUAUGCUGAAUCUAAAAAUGUACUUAGAUUCUUGAUUAUUGGCCCAGUUUUCAAGUUGGUCCAAAUCGGGGUCCAAAAUUAAACUUUGUUUGAUUUCAUCAAAAAUUGAAUAAAUGAGG
rnacentral:lncRNA from 1 species